GUUGUGGACAAGGCAAUGACGUCUAGCCUUUGUGCCUACAUCCUUUUUUUUCAUGAAACGUUGUAUUUAUUGCUACAUUAACAGGAUAUUGUGUAAUCUGUUUACAGGUAGCCAUGCCAACCCCAUUGGAGAUGUAUGUUUGAAGAUAAUCAUAGGAAAUCCUCCACCUAACCCAGAGAAACCCUCUCCAGGUCAGCAGCAACCCUGGAGUACCCUACUACCUGACAGGUGGAUCUGUCAGCACCCUAUACACUGUGCUGUGCUCUGGGUCAUCCCUCCCUCCCAGUCCUGAUCCUCAGGUGUCUGGCUGACUGGGUCUCUGGGUCAUCCCUCCCUCCCAGUCCUGAUCCUCAGGUGUCUGGCUGACUGGGUCUCUGGGUCAUCCCUCCCUCCCAGUCCUGAUCCUCAGGUGUCUGGCUGACUGGGUCUCUGGGUCUUCCCUCCCUCCCAGUCCUGAUCCUCAGGUGUCUGGCUAACUGGGUCUCCAGACAAAGGGUGUCCCCCACCAUCCAUUCACAAGCCACAGGUGAACUCUCAUACACCGGGCAAACCUGACUUUCAAGUCUCCCACAGACAUUUACACCUACAUAUUGGGCCGGUCUCCUCUCACCUGUGCAAAUAGAACUGGUUAGGGUGAGAGCGAAAGAGAGAGAGAAAAGAGAGGGGGAUGACAGGCAGAGUGAGGUAGGGAUAUAUACACUGCUCAAAAAAAUAAAGGGAACACUUAAACAACACAUCCUAGAUCUGAAUGAAAGAAAUAAUCUUAUUAAAUAUUUUUUUCUUUACAUAGUUGAAUGUGCUGACAACAAAAUCACACAAAAAUAAUCAAUGUAAAUCCAAUUUAUCAACCCAUGGAGGUCUGGAUUUGGAGUCACACUCAAAAUUAAAGUGGAAAACCACACUACAGGCUGAUCCAACUUUGAUGUAAUGUCCUUAAAACAAGUCAAAAUGAGGCUCAGUAGUGUGUGUGGCCUCCACGUGCCUGUAUGACCUCCCUACAACGCCUGGGCAUGCUCCUGAUGAGGUGGCGGAUGGUCUCCUGAGGGAUCUCCUCCCAGACCUGGACUAAAGCAUCCGCCAACUCCUGGACAGUCUGUGGUGCAACGUGGCGUUGGUGGAUGGAGCGAGACAUGAUGUCCCAGAUGUGCUCAAUUGGAUUCAGGUCUGGGGAAUGGGCGGGCCAGUCCAUAGCGUCAAUGCCUUCCUCUUGCAGGAACUGCUGACACACUCCAGCCACAUGAGGUCUAGCAUUGUCUUGCAUUAGGAGGAACCCAGGGCCAACCGCACCAGCAU
rnacentral:lncRNA from 1 species